CACUUUCAAGGGAAAGUAAUUUUCCUGUUUAUUUGUUUUGUAGGUGGCUUUUCUGGUUGCUCCUUGGUGUGCCCUCCACUGCUAGAUUGGUACCUGAUAUACAUUCAGAAUCCGGUCACUAACAUCCAAUGAUGCCCUUCCCAAUGUCACAUAACUUCCAGGUGGUUCCAUGAUGCCUCAGCCUCCAUGGUGGCCCUCACACCUGUUAAUCAUCUUCAUGCCAUCUGGCAACUUCGUCAUGCCAAGGAGGGCUUUUAUUCAUUGGCUGUACUAUGGUCUUCUGCCUGGGUGCAACAUGGGCAACCUGCUACCUUCCCACCCACCUCCGAGCACCAGCAUCAUUUUAUGAGAAUGCCAACCCAAGUCAGCUGUCAGACCUCCCUCCUUGUGGAUCCGAUGUGUUCUUAAAAGACCAAGGCAAUCUACGGCUGCA